GGCAAGAUGGCCGAGCGGUCUAAGGCGUGUGACUCAAGCGUGACAGCUUCUCCUGUUCACAGGAUUCUCAUCUUCGUCAGAAGGCGUGGGUUCAAAUCCCACUCUUGUCA
rfam:Schizopora paradoxa strain KTC8140 unplaced genomic scaffold SCHPAscaffold_00231, whole genome shotgun sequence.